rnacentral:rRNA from 1 species
AUUGAACGCUGGCGGCAGGCCUAACACAUGCAAGUCGAGCGGAUGAAGGGAGCUUGCUCCUAGAUUCAGCGGCGGACGGGUGAGUAAUGCCUAGGAAUCUGCCUGGUAGCGGGGGAUAACGUCCGGAAACGGGCGCUAAUACCGCAUACGUCCUGAGGGAGAAAGUGGGGGAUCUUCGGACCUCACGCUAUCAGAUGAGCCUAGGUCGGAUUAGCUAGUUGGUGGGGUAAAGGCCUACCAAGGCGACGAUCCGUAACUGGUCUGAGAGGAUGAUCAGUCACACUGGAACUGAGACACGGUCCAGACUCCUACGGGAGGCAGCAGUGGGGAAUAUUGGACAAAGGGCGAAAGCCUGAUCCAGCCAUGCCGCGUGUGUGAAGAAGGUCUUCGGAUUGUAAAGCACUUUAAGUUGGGAGGAAGGGCAGUAAGUUAAUACCUUGCUGUUUUGACGUUACCAACAGAAUAAGCACCGGCUAACUUCGUG